CCCCAAAACUUAUAAAAGGCAAAAGACUUAUCCCCAAAAACCUAUAAAAGGCAAACAACUUAUCCCCAACAACUUAUAAAAGACAAGCAACUUAUCCCGAGAAACUUAUAAAAUGCAAACGACUUAUCCCAAGUGACUUAUUAAGGAAAACCAACAUAUCCAAAAAGCCAUAUACUGUAUGAAAGGGAAAAAAACUUUUACCUAAGGAAAAAAAACUACAAAAAUUCCAGAGCAGCUUAUAAUAAAGCAUAGCAUCUUAUCCAACUUCUUAAAAACAACAACAACUUAACCAAUGAAUCAGAAAAAGCUCCUUCGCAAGAAAAAAAAAAACUCUCUCAGGCGACUUAUGAAAAAAAAAAAAAAAACCUAUGCCAAAAAAAUUUACAAAACAAACUUAUUAAACCUAGAAACUUAUCCAGAAAGCAAAAUGUUCCAUGCAGUUCAUUAAAAGAAAAACAAAAUUUCCUAAGCAUUGUAUAAAAAAAAAACAGACUAAUAAUUUUUUUUUAUUGAGUCACAAGCAACUUACCAGAAAGAGGAUUAUAUCUUCUUUUCAUUAUAGAAUAUAAUAGAAACAUAUUCAAUUAUAGAAUAAUUAUAUUUAUCUACAUAACAGUAAACGCUAAAGCAACUUCUCCAAACCAACAUAUCUAAAAAAAAUAAAUAAAUAAAUAAAUAAAAAAUUAAAGCGACUUGUUAAGUAUUUAUAUGAAGCAAAUUACUCAAAACUAAGCUACUUAUCAGACAAACAAGCCAGACAAAUAACAGACAGAAGUCUGUGACAUGUUUAUCUACAAUGCUAUUAUGACCCAUAGCCACACAGCAGUGUGUUUAGUGAGUAUUAAAACUAUCAUAACGCUGAUCAGAACCGAUCCAGGUAGUACGCUCGGCAGAGCCGGUCUCGGUAGUAUGUGAAGAUCAGAUCCAGGACUGGACCAUGAACUUAAAGCCUUCCUGAUUUCAGCUUCUUUCCAGACAGUGGAUAACCUGCAAGAGACUGUAGAAGGGAAAAGAAGGAAACCGAGGGAUCACUUCUGAAUUCCAAGAAUGGAAAUACAGUGACAGUGGGUGGUUUUUGGAUGCACUUGACGUUUUCCGAUUUUAUUUUCUCAAAUAUUCCUACGUUUCUGUUGUUAUGGCCAAUAUGACACAGAAACAAGGACAAGAGCUUCUAGUACUGCAGAGACAAGAGCUUCGGGUACUGACAUGCUUACUGGUGUUCCUAACAUGCUCGAAAACCAAGACUGCACGCUGCACGUUUUUGCUCAGCAUCUUCUUGCUCUUUUUGCUUAAGACCUCAGUUCCAGGAACAGGUUUUUGGCAGCAAGUGGAGAGCCUGGUUUCCCCUCUGCCAACGCACGUCAUGGGUCCAUAGCGAUGGCUCAGAACUCGUGUCAUGAAUGUUUCUCUAAAACAAGAGCCAACAGUUGCCACAGUAAACACCGCAGCGGGUCCAGAUGUCGAGAGAAACCACAGGCUAGAAAUGUAAUUUAUGGGUUUAAAGUGGAGACAGUUGGAGAUGGGUUUCUUCCCUUUGAUCAACUUUCCUAGAUCUGAUGAAAAAGCAUCGAUCUGAGAUACGAGUGCUGAUCAAAAUUGUCUCCCACACUCACCAUAAAGGCUUCCUUAACGGCUCUUCAAAUGGUUCCUUGGCUUUUAACGGGGUUAUUCGAUCAGAUCAUUAGAAACCGGUUAUAUAAAAGGUCCUUGGACCAACAGGCCGAUUUCUUUCAUCAAAAGCAUAUUGAGCUAGAAAGAUUUAAUUUAAAACAUCAGGAGGAAAGCAUUCCACAACAUGGAUUCAAGUGAAACUGACAUCGCAGGAGACAGUUCCAUACGUCAUGUCUGAAAAAAAAAAAAUAAUACAAUGCCUACACGUGACAUUUCCAAUCUGGGGGUUGAGGACUGGAGUUUUAUAAGUAAACAAUAUUUUGCUGAAGUCUCUCUUCUCUUCUCUUCUCUUCUCAACGAGAGUCUGAGCACCUCUGUAUUGUCACAUUUUUCACAAGUGCUCGGGUUUUCAGCAGUAACUGGUCAUCGCAAAAUCCUGGUUUUUAUUUUCGUUCUGCGGCCAUUCCUCUGCCGGAUUAGACGCACAGUCGGGUUCAUAAUUAUUUGGACAGUCACACAAUUUCCGUAACUUUACCUCUGUACGUUACACCACCCCGAUGGGUCUGAAAUGAAACAUUCAAGAUGAGAAGAAGUUAAAUGUUCUCAAAUGUCCGAUGACCUCGACACAAAUGAGCAUGCUUUCCACUUACUGAAGACAAAACUGAAGGCAGAAAGACCCACAAACAAGCAGCUACUCAAGGCGGAUAGGGUAAAGACCUGGCAACGCAUCUCAAGGGAGAAAACUCAGCAUUUACUGAUGUCCAUGGGUUGAUGGCAAAGGGUUUGUAUCCAAGUAAAUAUCAAUCCUAAUAUUUAUGAUUAUAUCAGUUUGUCGAAUUACUUUUGACCUGUGGAAAUGGAGGGUCUAUGUAAAAGACGGCUGUAAUUAAUGGGUUAAUGCAAUGUUUUUGUUAAACCCCUUGAAUUAAAGCUAAACUCGAUUGCUUCAUCCAUUGUGGAGGUGUACAGAAGCAAAAUCACCCAAAUUGUGUCGCUGUCCAAAUAUUUAUGGACCUGACUGUAUAUUUGGGCGCGUUGUAUCAGGUACAUCUAACUUAGUGGGGAUCUAACUAUCUAAUGGAGAUCCUCCAGGAGGAGCUGGAAACUGUGGCCUGAGAUAGUGAAGUCUGGGCUGACCUUCUCGAAGUGUUGCCACCAUGAUACCCAUUGGGAAAAUCUGGAGUGUUCUUAACUUCCUGCCAACCAGAUUUUCAACUGGUUUUCAAAACCUGAAAAGGAUGACCAGGAAGUCAAUUCAAAUAACCUGCCUCUGAUCACAAGGAGCAUUCCCCUUCCCAUUUAAACUGAAGUCAGCUACCCUGAAUAAGGCCCUCAGUGACUUCGGAGUCAUCUGGACUA
ensembl:lncRNA